rnacentral:rRNA from 1 species
AAAGGAAUAGACGGGGGCCCGCACAAGCGGAGGAACAUGUGGUUUAAUUCGAUGAUACGCGAGGAACCUUACCCGGGCUUAAAUUGCAGACGAAUUACGAGGAAACUUGUAAGCCGCAAGGCGUCUGUGAAGGUGCUGCAUGGUUGUCGUCAGCUCGUGCCGUGAGGUGUCGGCUUAAGUGCCAUAACGAGCGCAACCCUCGUGGUCAGUUACUAACAGGUUAAGCUGAGGACUCUGGCCAGACUGCCAUCGUAAGAUGUGAGGAAGGUGGGGAUGACGUCAAAUCAGCACGGCCCUUACGUCCGGGGCUACACACGUGUUACAAUGGGAGGUACAGAAGGCAGCUACCCGGCGACGGGAUGCCAAUCCCCAAAACCUCUCUCAGUUCGGACUGGAGUCUGCAACCCGACUCCACGAAGCUGGAUUCGCUAGUAAUCGCGCAUCAGCCACGGCGCGGUGAAUACGUUCCCGGGCCUUGUACACACCGCCCGU